GGUCUCCAAACACGACUCUCGACACACGCACGGAGGAUACUUCUCCGUCGACUUCCACGCAUCGCCGAGGAUCGUCAGCGAGCUGCUGGAUCACCUCGAGCGGGACAUUGACGUGCUGCGCCCGACAGUCCUAAAGAAAGACCCCGAGCGUCCCCAGUCGCAGUGCUGCGGAGCACAGGCGGCCAAACCAAAGACUGCCACCUCCAGAUAAACGUGAGGAUCCCUGGCAGAGGACUAGCAUUGCUUAAUUUCAGGACUGUGAAGAUGUGCUCAUCUCCUGGAUUAUGUGAAUGGACUUUCAAAACAAGAUGUCAGCAUCCUUUUUAUAGUUCGUGCAUUUAUGUCAGCUAAUUGUGUAAUGUGUGUUUCCACAAAGAACAUAUGACCUCUUUGCGGGAUCAGCGGUUUUGGAGUAUUUAAUUUUAAUAUGACAAAUGCUGCUUCAAUAAUUACGUGCUCAUAAAUAAAUAACAUAAACAC